AACGAACGCUGGCGGCAUGCCUAACACAUGCAAGUCGAACGAGACCUUCGGGUCUAGUGGCGCACGGGGGCGUAACGCGUGGGAACCUGCCCUUAGGUUCGGAAUAACUCCCCGAAAGGGGUGCUAAUACCGGAUAAUGUAUUCGGACAAAAGAUUUAUCGCCUUUGGAUGGGCCCGCGUUGGAUUAGCUAGUUGGUAGGGUAAAAGCCUACCAAGGCGACGAUCCAUAGCUGGUCUGAGAGGAUGAUCAGCCACACUGGGACUGAGACACGGCCCAGACUCCUACGGGAGGCAGCAGUGGGGAAUAUUGGACAAUGGGCGAAAGCCUGAUCCAGCAAUGCCGCGUGAGUGAUGAAGGCCUUAGGGUUGUAAAGCUCUUUUACCCGGGAUGAUAAUGACAGUACCGGGAGAAUAAGCUCCGGCUAACUCCGUG
rnacentral:rRNA from 1 species